AUGCCGUUCGGAUUGACGAAUGCCCCGGCCACCUUCCAGUGCUUGAUGAACGCCAUUUUCGCCAAGUAUUUCCGUAAAUUCGUAAUCAGUUUUCUUGAUGGCAUCUUAGUCUUAAGUGAGACCCUGGAGGAACAUCUGGAGCACCUCCGCAUUGUCCUCGACCUGUUGCGGGCACAUUACCUGUACGCAAAGGAAUCCAAGUGCUCAUUCGCGCAAGACAACAUUUCUUACCUCAGCCACAUCAUUUCCAAGGACGGCGUGGCAACGGACCUAGAGAAGACACAAGCCAUGCUGGCAUGGCCUACUCCGACCACGGCCACCGAGCUCCGCGGCUUCCUCGGCCUAACGGGCUACUACCGCAAGUUCAUCGCGCAUUAUGGAAUCAUCGCCAAGCCGCUGACCAACCUCCUGACUAAGAAGGGCUUCGAGUGGACCGAGCAGGCGCAGGUGGCUUUCAACUUGCUCAAACGCGCCAUGGUGACCGCGCCCGUGCUGGCUCUCCCAGACUUUGUGUGCCUGUUC
rnacentral:rRNA from 1 species